rnacentral:misc_RNA from 1 species
AAGUCGUAACAAGGUUUCCGUAGGUGAACCUGCGGAAGGAUCAUUAAUAAAAAAACCUUGAUGGUUUCAAAACAAUCUUUAUGUAAAAGUAAAGGAGGUUUUUGGAACCACCAUCAAGCCAACUUGUAUUCUUGAAAACAAAAUUACCUUGUCAUAAACUAGUUUUUAUAAAUCUUAAACCUUUAAAAUUUUAAAAAUUAAAAUAUAACUAUUAACGACGGAUCCCUUGGCUCUUA